UAAUGGGACUGCCGGUGAUAAGCCGGAGGGAGGUGAGGAUGACGUCAAGUCAUCAUGGCCCUUACGGGCUGGGCUACACACGUGCUACAAUGGCAGUGACAAUGCGCAGCGACACAGCAAUGUGAUGCUAAUCGCAAAAAGCUGUCUCAGUUCGGAUUGAGGUCUGCAACUCGACCUCAUGAAGUCGGAAUCGCUAGUAAUCGCGGAUCAGAACGCCGCGGUGAAUACGUUCCCGGGCCUUGUACACACCGCCCGUCACACCAUGGGAGUUGGUUUUACUCGAAGACGGUGCGCUAACCGCA
rnacentral:rRNA from 1 species